UCAGCUGGUUCUAUCCAGUUCGGGUGAACCAGUAGCAGCAGCUGUGGGAGGCUCCGCCCACCCGCCUGGAUGUAAUCACGUCUCAUUUAUCCACGUUUAUGAUGCUCUGCGCAUGCGUGGAAGGCCCUGAGCGCGCUCACAUUUGCGAAUCGGUAGCAAAGAAGUCAUAGCUCUUUGAAUAUAGAUUGCCAGUUUUAUACACAAUUCUACUAAGCCAGUUCACUGAGAAAAACUCAUGGAAGCUGAUGCUGCAUUUUUACAAGAAAUCCUCCAAGGACAUGGUGGAUAGAAAUGGGGACUAUUUCUACAGGGAUAAGAAUAAGGAAUUGAUAAUAGUUAAAAAGAGUUUUAAGUUGGUAUUUGUGGGGGGGAAAGGAAAGAUGGAUAAUCAUGUUAAUAUACUGUAUAAUGGUGCUUUAGUUUCUCUUCUAUGUAUGAUACAGAAUACAGUGAUUAUAGAGAUGUAGUGAUUCUGUCCUUCGGGAAAAAUUGUUUUAAUAUUUAUAUCCUAUCAUAAAUGUAAACCAUUUCAUUUCAGUAGCAAACAGCUACUGAGUAUAAUAAAAAAUUGUUCAGUC